UACGUAGGGUGCGAGCGUUAAUCGGAAUUACUGGGCGUAAAGUGUGCGCAGGCGGCAGAGCAAGUCGAGUGUGAAAGCCCCGGGCUUAACUUGGGAAUUGCGCUCGAAACUACUUUGCUGGAGUGUGGCAGAGGAAGGUGGAAUUCCACGUGUAGCGGUGAAAUGCGUAGAGAUCAUGAGGAAGACCAGUGGCGAAGGCGGGUCUCUGGACAGUUCCUGACACUGAGACACGAAGGCCAGGGGAGCAAACGGG
rnacentral:rRNA from 1 species